rnacentral:rRNA from 1 species
UUCAAUGAGAGUUUGAUCAUAGCUCAGGAUGAACGUUGGCGGCGUGCCUAAGGUAUGCAAGUCGAACGGACCGCUAACUUAUAGUCGCUUGCGACUAUGAGUUAGCAGUGUCAGUGGCAAACGGGUGAGUAACGCGUGGGUAAUCUGCCCUGGAGUCGGGAACAGCUCGCCGAAAGGCGGGGUAAUAUCCGAUGGACCCAUUUCACUUCGGUGUUAAUGGGUAAAGCUCCGGCGCUUCAGGAGGAGCCCGCGUCCUAUCAGCUUGUUGGUGAGGUAAAGGCUCACCAAGGCUAAGACGGGUAGCUGGCGUGAGAGCGUGGCCA